CCCAGACUCUACGGGAGGCAGCAGUAGGGAAUCUUCGGCAAUGGACGGAAGUCUGACCGAGCAACGCCGCGUGAGUGAAGAAGGUUUUCGGAUCGUAAAGCUCUGUUGUAAGAGAAGAACGAGUGUGAGAGUGGAAAGUUCACACUGUGACGGUAUCUUACCAGAAAGGGACGGCUAACUACGUGCCAGCAGCCGCGGUAAUACGUAGGUCCCGAGCGUUGUCCGGAUUUAUUGGGCGUAAAGCGAGCGCAGGCGGUUAGAUAAGUCUGAAGUUAAAGGCUGUGGCUUAACCAUAGUACGCUUUGGAAACUGUUUAACUUGAGUGCAAGAGGGGAGAGUGGAAUUCCAUGUGUAGCGGUGAAAUGCGUAGAUAUAUGGAGGAACACCGGUGGCGAAAGCGGCUCUCUGGCUUGUAACUGACGCUGAGGCUCGAAAGCGUGGGGAGCAAACAGGAUUAGAUACCCUGGUAGUCCACGCCGUAAACGAUGAGUGCUAGGUGUUAGACCCUUUCCGGGGUUUAGUGCCGUAGCUAACGCAUUAAGCACUCCGCCUGGGGAGUACGACCGCAAGGUUGAAACUCAAAGGAAUUGACGGGGCCCGCACAAG
rnacentral:rRNA from 1 species